AGACCUUAGAGUUUGGAUCCUGGCUCAGGGAUUAAUCGCCGGCGGCGUGCAUAAAUACAUUGCAUGUCGAGCGGAACAGAUGAGAAGCUUGGUUUCUCUGAUGUUAGCGGCGGACGGGGGAAGUAACACGUGGGUAACCUACCUAUAAGACUGGGGACAAACUCCGGGCAAACCGGGGCUAAUACCGGAUAAUAUUUUGAACCGCAUGGUUCAAUAGUGAAAGACGGUUUCCGGCUGUCACUUAUAGAUGGACCCGCGCCGUAUUAGCUUAGUUGGUAAGGUAACGGCUCACCCAAGGCGACGAUACGUAGCCGACGUGAGAGGGUGAUCGGCCACACUGGAACUGAGACACGGUCCAGACUCCUACGGGAGGCAGCAGUAGGGAAUCUUCCGCAAUGGGCGAAAGCCUGACGGAGCAACGCCGCGUGAGUGAUGAAGGUCUUCGGAUCGUAAAACUCUGUUGUUAGGGAAGAACAAAUUUGUUAGUAACUGAACAAGUCUUGACGGUACCUAACCAGAAAGCCACGGCUAACUACGUGCCAGCAGCCGCGGUAAUACGUAGGUGGCAAGCGUUAUCCGGAAUUAUUGGGCGUAAAGCGCGCGUAGGCGGUUUCUUAAGUCUGAUGUGAAAGCCCACGGCUCAACCGUGGAGGGUCAUUGGAAACUGGGAAACUUGAGUGCAGAAGAGGAGAGUGGAAUUCCAUGUGUAGCGGUGAAAUGCGCAGAGAUAUGGAGGAACACCAGGGUGGGGAAGGGCCGGCUCUCUGGGGGUCUGUAACCUGACGCUGAUGUGCGAAAGCGUGGGGAUCAAACAGGAUUAGAUAACCCUGGUGGUCCCCCGCCGUAAACGAUGAGUGCUAAGUGUUAGCGGGGUUUCCGCCCCUUAGUGCUGCAGCUAACGCAUUAAGCCCUCCGCGUGGGGAGUACGACGGCGAGGUUGAAACUCAAAGGAAUUGGCGGGGACCCGCGCAAGCGGUGGAGUAUGUGUUUUAAUUGGAAGCAACGCGAAGAACCUUACCGGAUCUUGACAUCCUUUGACCGCUCUAGAGAUAGAGUCUUCCCCUUCGGGGAGAAAGUGACAGGUGGUGCAUGGUUGUCCUCCCUCGUGGCGGGAGAUUGUUUGGUUA
rnacentral:rRNA from 1 species